GCGUCGAGCGGCGGACGGGUGAGUAAUGCCUAGGAAAUUGCCCUGAUGUGGGGGAUAACCAUUGGAAACGAUGGCUAAUACCGCAUAACGCCUACGGGCCAAAGAGGGGGACCUUCGGGCCUCUCGCGUCAGGAUAUGCCUAGGUGGGAUUAGCUAGUUGGUGAGGUAAGGGCUCACCAAGGCGACGAUCCCUAGCUGGUCUGAGAGGAUGAUCAGCCACACUGGAACUGAGACACGGUCCAGACUCCUACGGGAGGCAGCAGUGGGGAAUAUUGCACAAUGGGCGCAAGCCUGAUGCAGCCAUGCCGCGUGUGUGAAGAAGGCCUUCGGGUUGUAAAGCACUUUCAGUCGUGAGGAAGGUAGUGUAGUUAAUAGCUGCAUUAUUUGACGUUAGCGACAGAAGAAGCACCGGCUAACUCCGUGCCAGCAGCCGCGGUAAUACGGAGGGUGCGAGCGUUAAUCGGAAUUACUGGGCGUAAAGCGCAUGCAGGUGGUUUGUUAAGUCAGAUGUGAAAGCCCGGGGCUCAACCUCGGAAUUGCAUUUGAAACUGGCAGACUAGAGUACUGUAGAGGGGGGUAGAAUUUCAGGUGUAGCGGUGAAAUGCGUAGAGAUCUGAAGGAAUACCGGUGGCGAAGGCGGCCCCCUGGACAGAUACUGACACUCAGAUGCGAAAGCGUGGGGAGCAAACAGGAUUAGAUACCCUGGUAGUCCACGCCGUAAACGAUGUCUACUUGGAGGUUGUGGCCUUGAGCCGUGGCUUUCGGAGCUAACGCGUUAAGUAGACCGCCUGGGGAGUACGGUCGCAAGAUUAAAACUCAAAUGAAUUGACGGGGGCCCGCACAAGCGGUGGAGCAUGUGGUUUAAUUCGAUGCAACGCGAAGAACCUUACCUACUCUUGACAUCCAGAGAACUUUCCAGAGAUGGAUUGGU
rnacentral:rRNA from 1 species